AUUGAACGCUGGCGGCAGGCCUAACACAUGCAAGUCGAGCGCGCGGCGGACGGGUGAGUAAUGUAUGGGGAUCUGCCUGAUGGAGGGGGAUAACUACUGGAAACGGUAGCUCAUACCGCAUAACAUCAGAUGAACCCAUAGGGGAUUGGCUAGUGGGUGUGGUAAUGGCUCACCUAGAAGACGAUCCCUAGCUGGUCUGAGAGGAUGACCAGCCAAACUGGAACUGAGACACGGUCCAGACUCCUACGGGAGGCAGCAGUGGGGAAUAUUGCACAAUGGGCGCAAGCCUGAUGCAGCCACGCCGCGUGUGGGAAGAAGGCCUUCGGGUUGUAAAGCACUUUCAGCGAGGAGGCGUUACUCGCAGAAGAAGCACCGGCUAACUCCGGGCCAGCAGCCGCGGUAAUUC
rnacentral:rRNA from 1 species